GCGGCGGUGUGCCAAGCGUGUACCUUUUCACUUUGCGGGUAUCGUCCAGGCCACCUCCAGAGUCGGAUGAAGAUUUGAGGUACCAUGAGCCGGUGUGGAGCCGAAGUUUGGAAACGGCUGCCUCCAAAGCGGCCUACAGGGAAUGUACUGA